UUUCGAAAUGACUGAAAUAUGAAAAGAGGGAUGUAAUUCCGAGGCUUUAUAAGGCACUGGAUGGACUGCAUUUGGAGUAUUGUG